rnacentral:rRNA from 1 species
GAUCUGGUCGGGCGGUCCGCUUAACAGCGUGUACUGUUUGACUGGGUCUUACCUCUUGGUGAGCCGGUGUGCCCUUCAUUGGUGUGCGCCGGUGAACCAGGACUUUUACCUUGAGAAAAUUAGAGUGUUCAAAGCAGGCAAAGCCUGAAUACAUUAGCAUGGAAUAAUAAAAUAGGACGUGUGGUUCUAUUUUGUUGGUUUCUAGAAUCGCCGUA